UACGAAGGGUGCAAGCGUUAUUCGGAAUUACUGGGCGUAAAGCGCACGUAGGCGGACUGGAAAGUUGGGGGGUGAAAGCCCAGGGCUCAACCCUGGAACUGCCUUCAAAACUCCCAGUCUUGAGGUCGAGAGAGGUGAGUGGAAUUCCGAGUGUAGAGGUGAAAUUCGUAGAUAUUCGGAGGAACACCAGUGGCGAAGGCGGCUCACUGGCUCGAUACUGACGCUGAGGUGCGAAAGCGUGGGGAGCAAACAGG
rnacentral:rRNA from 1 species